rnacentral:tRNA from 1 species
GCGGAUGUGGCGAAAUUGGUAGACGCACUAGACUUAGGAUCUAGCGCCGCGAGGCAUGGAGGUUCGAGUCCAUCCAUCCGCA